ensembl:lncRNA
GAGCAGAACAGCUUGGAAAUGGUUUCGCCUGAAAAGAGUCACUGUGGGGGGAUAAAGGAGGAGGAGGGGGCUGAGUGAAGACCAGAAACCCUGACCUCUACUGCUGCGGGCAGGCAGGCUGUUUGCCGCCACUGCAGAGCUCAUUUAAAACAGGCAAUGUCGGCUCACGUCCGACAUCCUUUCUGAUAAAACAUCCUGAUCACACCUGAUGUUCAGCCGAGGUAACGCUCAGUCAGACCGAGGAGCUCAAAGUAACAGCUGGUUUCUGUUCACGUGGAACAAGGAGCUCGUUUCUAAAUUAUUACGAGUUGGUGUCUCUCAUCCCUGAAGCUUGCAGGCAUCAACCAUGUGAUUAUACUCAACUCAGUUCUUUUCUCAAAUUGACACAACUCCAGCUUUCAUACAUCACUUCUUUUAUUCACCCCUUCAGAGUCUCCAAAGUCUAGAAGAUUGUGAAGCCCUAACCCUUUGUUCCCCCUCGACUAGUAAACCUUUCUCAGUUUCAUGAGCUGCUUGGCCGUCACUUCUAUCAGUCAGAUACUGAACCUCACCCAACUUCUCUGCAUUGCUAAAGGACAGUAAAUUAUGAUUAUGGUAAUCACAAUUAUUUUGUUCCAUAUUGAGAUGCGAUCACAUCUACAUAAAUUCUUAAUGAAGCUUCUUUCAGCUGCGCCUGUAAAUCCAUCAAAAAAAAAGAAAAAAAAGGGAUUGUUCACUUGUUAGGCAAAUACGUAAACCAUUCAUGCAACACACAUCCCCAUCUCCACCUCACUCAAGUCACUCAGAGCUCCAUCCAAGUCUUCAUCUUUGGCACUUCUUACUUUUACUAGCUGAAUUUUUCCUCUCAUUUAAAAGACUAAUUUAGUAGCCAAGAACAUCCCAGGUGAAAUAAUCCGAACAUAUGGCUACACUGGAAUGUCACAGAACGUAAUGAUCGAAUUUUUAAAUCUGGAAAGACUCAUAAAGACCUUGGAGCAUAUAGAGGUGAAAAUCAGAGCGCAAACACUUUAUGGUGCUGGGUUUGUAUCCGCUCAUGCAAGACUUGUUACAUGCGCAGAGCUUCAACUGUGGCAUCCACAGGACAAGACUCAGCAGUCCAUCUGCAUCUUAAGGAUAAAGGACACUCUUUCGAGGAUGCCAAUGUCCACAUUUUGGACAGAGAGGACAGAUGGUUUGAAAGAGGAGUGAAAGAAGCCAUCUAUGUCCACUGUGAGCGACCAUCUUUGAACAGAGGCGGUGGUUUACGACACCAACUGUCUGCCAUCUAUAAUCCAGUUUUGAGUUCCCUCCCCAGACACCUUAACGCCCACUCACAUCCUGGGCCAUCUGACCUCAGGAAUUUGCAUGAUAAGGUGAGGCCAGGUUUCACAAUAAGCUCACCCGAAACCCUGGCUGACUGGGACCCACCCCAGUUUCAC